rnacentral:rRNA from 1 species
UCGGUGUUCGCCUAAGCCAUGCGAGUCAUAUGUUCUUCGUGAACAUGGCGUACUGCUCAGUAACACGUGGAUAACCUGCCCUUGGGUCCGGCAUAACCCCGGGAAACUGGGGAUAAUUCCGGAUAACGCACAUAUGCUGGAAUGCUUUAUGCGUCAAAUGGAUUCGUCCGCCCAAGGAUGGGUCUGCGGCCUAUCAGGUAGUAGUGGGUGUAAUGUACCUACUAGCCUACGACGGGUACGGGUUGUGAGAGCAAGAGCCCGGAGAUGGAUUCUGAGACAUGAAUCCAGGCCCUACGGGGCGCAGCAGGCGCGAAAACUUUACAAUGCGGGAAACCGUGAUAAGGGGACACCGAGUGCCAGCAUCAUAUGCUGGCUGUCCGGGUGUGUAAAAUACACCUGUUAGCAAGGGCCGGGCAAGACCGGUGCCAGCCGCCGCGGUAACACCGGCGGCCCGAGUGGUGAUCGUGAUUAUUGGGUCUAAAGGGUCCGUAGCCGGUUUGGUCAGUCCUCCGGGAAAUCUGACGGCUUAACCGUUAGGCUUUCGGGGGAUACUGCCAUACUUGGAACCGGGAGAGGUAAGAGGUACUACAGGGGUAGGAGUGAAAUCUUGUAAUCCCUGUGGGACCACCUGUGGCGAAGGCGUCUUACCAGAACGGGUUCUACGGUGAGGGACGAAAGCUGGGGGCACGAACCGGAUUAGAUACCCGGGUAGUCCCAGCCGUAAACGAUGCUCGCUAAGUUGUCACGCAUGGCGCGACCGUCUCUGGUUGCCGCAGGGAUGCCGUGAAGCGAGCCACCUGGUUAAGUACGGUCGUCAAGGAUGAAACU